AGAGACAACAUGAGCCAUGUGGAUGUCAUUGCUUCAACAAAUCUUAUAGUACUGCUGGAAGAUGAAGUCUUUGCUGAUUUUUUCAACACAUUUCUGUCUCUCCCAGUCUUUGGUCAAACACCAAUUUAUAUACUUCAAGAUUUAGAGUGGCUCCUAUGGCCAGAGUUACCCUGUACUUUGAUUGCCAAGUACAAAGGUUUAUUGACAUGGUUGGAAAAAUACAGAUUACCUUAUUUCUGCAAGACCAACUUAUGUCACCAUUAUAUGCUCUGUAAGGAACUCCUCAGUUUCAUCAAAUCCCCAGAGGGUGCCAACAUGAUGAGAUGGAAGACCGCAGACCAAUGGCUCCUCUACAAAUGUGUUGGCAGUGUCCGGGGAAUGUGGCGUUUCUGUGCCUACCUCAGUGGCACAGCAGGGGAGGAACUGAUGGAGUUCUGGAUAAUUGCUGAGAGAAUCCUCGGGAUAGAUGAGACCAAUGAUAAGCAGAAGGAUGCCUACCUGUCCCUCCUCUUGGUGCUGAAGGCCACUCACUUGCAGGAAGGGUCCUCUGUACUGAUUCUUUGCAAUAUGAACGUCAAGUCGCUGAUGAACCUCUCUGUGUGGCAUCCCAAACAGUCCACCACCAGAAGGAAGAUCCUGAGCCAUAUGCAGAAAGUGGCUCUGUUCAAAAUCCAGAGCUAUUGGCUCCCAAACUUCUACAUGCACUGCAAGAUCAAUAUGGCCAAGGAGGAAAAGUGCCAGGCUCUGCUCCAGGAGUAUGAAGACCGCCUCUGUCAGGUGGAGGAGGAAGACACUGACUCUUUGCUAAGUGACCUCCCCCUUAAUAUGAACGUCAGGAGGCUUUAUGUGACCCAGAAGCCAUACUGCAGCAAGAAAACCAAGAAGAAGAUGUGGCGGUUCAUUGACCAGGGCACAUGGACUGUUGAACCUGAACUGCCCAUCAUACACACUUUGCAACCCCAAAAGAGCAAGUUGCUUGACAAAGGAUUUCAACGCUUCCCUGAUGUCUUCUGUCCUCCAUCAAAACUCGUUGUGCGGAUGGGUGCCCUGAGACCACUGCAUUUUAGAGACAGCACGUGUGACUUCAAGGUAAAGGACAGCUUCAGUUCCAUAACCUUCAACUCCAAGGCAAAUGAUAAUAAAACUUGUCUGCCCUUUUCCCUAGAAGAAAUCUGUGAGAAGAAAUUCACAGCCAAAUUGCGUAAUGCCACCCCUGUCAUCAACCAGUCCUCCCUGAUAUCCCUAAAGAAGGUGAUUCGGAAAAGUUAUUCCUUUGAAUAUCUCCACUGGGCUUUCACUGCCGAUUCCUGUGCAGGGAAUCCUUUUGGAGACUACCUUAAGAGUAAGCACUACAAGACGGAGAACCGCCUCCUACAUCUCUGGAAAGAUCUGGACAACUUCCUGACCGUUUGCGUCAGUGCCAAGAAAGGUGGCAAUCUGCUAUUUCGGCAUACUCUUGGAAAUCGCAUCUGUGAGCUCUACCUAAAUGAAGACAAUGGCCCCAUCCUGCCGCUCAAACCUCAAACCAUCCGGCACCUGAAAGAGCUGCUGCCCUCUGGGGAUGUGAUUCCCUGGAUCCCCAAAGCACAGAAAGAGAUAUGCAAGAUUCUUGCUUCCUUGUUUGAUGACUUCCUCGACCUUGAUGACCACUGGUUUCUCAUCUUUGCGUCUCAAACCAGUGGUGAUGAAAUCGAGAGGCAGAAAGCCAAGGAACCUUUGGACAGCCUGGAGUACAUUCUAUUGUGUAAGAGAAUACAGGAAUCCCUAGGGUUGUGCCUGGCCUUGUCCACCCUGGAAGACAUGGAAGCCCUGACAGAAACUCACUGGCAAAUGAUAGCUACUCAGGAUAUGAAAAGAGGAGGAUCUCUCCAUUUGGAACUACAGCCUUCGGUGUUUAAGGAAGACACAGGGAAAAUGAACUUUGAAGAGCUGUGCAGGAAGAACCCAAAGCUGGCCAUAGAAAGAAUAAGUGAAGACUUUAGGAAGUAUUAUGAAAAGAAACCCAUAAUUUCAGGAAAGCCAGUGGGAACAGCUAAGAAAUCACCCUCUCAUCUUCAAUUUCCAAGUGCCUUAGCCUUCCUCAAGAAGGGAAGCUAUGCUUUAAGGAAACCCUCACUAAGACCCAGGAGUAUCAUGGAAAUCCUCCAACACCCUGUCCAUUUGGAUUACUUCAAGGAAUUCCUUAGAAUAAACCAUGCUGAGAAUCUACUGAAUUUCAUCCUUGCCAUGCAGAAGGCCAGUAGUGAACCCAAUGAAAAAUUACAGAAAAUUCUCAUUGAUGCCAUCAUCAAGACUUUCUUCCAUAACAAAAUUAAUGUUGAGGAUAUCCUACAGUGUACUUCCCCUAUCCUCAAAGAAAUUUCUCACAUGCGCCGUGUUCCUUUAGCAAUGUUGAUACAGGCCCAGAACCAAGUCCUGAAAUAUCUAGAAGAAAAAUGGUUCAAAAUUUACCAAGACAUGUUCCCACCUCGUCUUCAAAUUCAAACUUCAGACCCUGAGAUACGACAAAGGCAACAGAAAAGGGAAACAAAGAUGAUUCGCUUACAACUCAAGAAGAAAAAGGUAUGGAUCUACUUGAUCGCCAUCAUUAAAAGCUUCUGCAAAUUUCAAAGGGAAAUGAAGAAACCAAAAGUCCGCCUCCAAUUUGAGGAAUUUCUACUUAAGGAAAUGAAUAAUUAUAAGGAAAAUAUAGUUGCAUCAGGGUCAUUCAGAAACACAACCGCAACCACAAGCACUUGUGUCCUCCAAAAGUCGGGCUUAGAUAUUGACAUGGAAGAUUUUGUACUUGUAAAGCGCCGUAUAUUUGGCCAUAAGAUAAUCAUCAUCAACUUUCUGGUCAAUGACUUAAGUUAUUUUAUUGAAAUAGGAAAAUUCAAUGACCUGGUUGCUUCAGCCUUAGUACUGCAAGUUAACAAGAUCUUCAAUGAAAAUGAUAUUGCGCUGAUGAAAGCCAAGGCAAAUAUUAUCUACAAACUCUUCCUUGCAUCUGAAAUUCCUCCAAAACUACGGGUGAAUAUUUCUGAAAACAUGAAGGACGCCAUCUACAAUGCAGUUACAGAUGGGCACCUGGAUCGCACCACUUUCUAUAGUUCUCUCAUGACAAUUUUCCCUAUUAUUAUGCACUUCUGGAAAAAGUACUCUAACUGGAGAGCAAUGCGUGCCUACUUUCAUUAUUUGGGAACGAAAAGCAAGGACACCUCCCUUGGUGGUACCAUAUCUCCUAAACAGCCUCAGUGGAGUGGAGGGGACCAUGUCGUCCUGAGAUUUUCUCUGUUGAAGGGCAUUGAGUGGCUGCUGCCUCAGCCCCGGGAAGAUGCGGAGAGUGCAGCUAUGUUAUCUUCAUCUAGCAGCAUGUCCCAGAAGAGAAAACGGACAAGCACCUUCCAGUCAAUAGGAGAACCGGUGAAGGAAGAAGAGAAUUUUAGCAUCAAGCUUGAAAGAGAAGAAAAGAACAAGAAGGGGCUGCUGAUGCCUUUGGAAAUUCAGACAAAAACACUCUGACAUCACUAAAGUCAACUCACUAGUCACAUAAUACACCUGACAGAGUCAGACCAGUGCUCAGGAGGCACCUAACAUGGAUGGAUUUUUUACAGGAAAAUAAAGGGCAGAUGGGUCCAGAUUAAUUUCAUUCUUGACCCCAGAGAAAUAAGAAGGAAAUUUCUCUCUCCUUUCAGUAGACUUUCAGGGAACUACAGGUAUGGAAUGUUGCAUAUACUACCAGACAUGGUUGCUUUGUCAUUUCAUUUUAGUUAGAAUUUUGCUUUGUUAUAAGAGAGAAAUCACCGGGUAGGGGUAGAGGAGGGAAAGGGUUUCAUAGUGGAAAAAAAUUAUUGUGAUGUUAAAAAGGCAAAAAUAUAAAGUAUUAAGAAAAAUAACCAAAAUGAAGGACAGAGUCUCAAGUGGUAAGUUCACACUGGAGAUGAGUAGAGUGGCUUAUUGUCUCCUUGGGAUCUAGAAUAAGAGGGAAGAAAGGAAGCAUGGGAAGGCAAGUAAGGGGGUUCCACUGAUGGCAGCCAUUAACUGUGUUACAGUUUUUAAAAAGGGAAUUGGAUUUAGACUCAGAGAAUCUAGGUACAAAUAGUGACUCUGCUAAUUCCUCCCUGUGUGACCUUGGGCAUGAGUUUCCUUCUCUGUAAAGAAAGGAAGUUAGACUAAAAGACCUCUAAA